rnacentral:rRNA from 1 species
GGGUUGUGAGGUUAAGCGACUAAGCGUACACGGUGGAUGCCCUGGCAGUCAGAGGCGAUGAAGGACGUGCUAAUCUGCGAAAAGCGUCGGUAAGGUGAUAUGAACCGUUACAGCCGGCGAUGUCCGAAUGGGGAAACCCAGUGUGAUUCGUCACACUAUCGUUAACUGAAUACAUAGGUUAACGAGGCGAACCGGGGGAACUGAAACAUCUAAGUACCCCGAGGAAAAGAAAUCAACCGAGAUUCCCCCAGUAGCGGCGAGCGAACGGGGAGCAGCCCAGAGUCUGAAUCAGCUUGUGUGUUAGUGGAACGGUCUGGAAAGUCCGACGGUACAGGGUGAUAGUCCCGUACACCAAAAUGCACAGGCUGUGAACUCGAAGAGUAGGGCGGGACACGUGGUAUCCUGUCUGAAUAUGGGGGGACCAUCCUCCAAGGCUAAAUACUCCUGACUGACCGAUAGUGAACCAGUACCGUGAGGGAAAGGCGAAAAGAACCCCGGCGAGGGGAGUGAAAAAGAACCUGAAACCGUGUACGUACAAGCAGUGGGAGCACCUUCGGGUGUGACUGCGUACCUUUUGUAUAAUGGGUCAGCGACUUAUAUUCUGUAGCAAGGUUAACCGUAUAGGGGAGCCGCAGGGAAACCGAGUCUUAACUGGGCGUUAAGUUGCAGGGUAUAGACCCGAAACCCGGUGAUCUAGCCAUGGGCAGGUUGAAGGUUGGGUAACACUAACUGGAGGACCGAACCGACUAAUGUUGAAAAAUUAGCGGAUGACUUGUGGCUGGGGGUGAAAGGCCAAUCAAACCGGGAGAUAGCUGGUUCUCCCCGAAAGCUAUUUAGGUAGCGCCUCGUGAAUUCAUCUUCGGGGGUAGAGCACUGUUUCGGCUAGGGGGUCAUCCCGACUUACCAACCCGAUGCAAACUACGAAUACCGAAGAAUGUUAUCACGGGAGACACACGGCGGGUGCUAACGUCCGUCGUGAAGAGGGAAACAACCCAGACCGCCAGCUAAGGUCCCAAAGUCACAGUUAAGUGGGAAACGAUGUGGGAAGGCACAGACAGCCAGGAUGUUGGCUUAGAAGCAGCCAUCAUUUAAAGAAAGCGUAAUAGCUCACUGGUCGAGUCGGCCUGCGCGGAAGAUGUAACGGGGCUAAACUGUGCACCGAAGCUGCGGCAGCGACACUAUGUGUUGUUGGGUAGGGGAGCGUUCUGUAAGCCUGCGAAGGUGGCCUGUGAGGGUUGCUGGAGGUAUCAGAAGUGCGAAUGCUGACAUAAGUAACGAUAAUGCGGGUGAAAAGCCCGCACGCCGGAAGACCAAGGGUUCCUGUCCAACGUUAAUCGGGGCAGGGUGAGUCGACCCCUAAGGCGAGGCCGAAAGGCGUAGUCGAUGGGAAACAGGUUAAUAUUCCUGUACUUGGUGUUACUGCGAAGGGGGGACGGAGAAGGCUAUGUUAGCCGGGCGACGGUUGUCCCGGUUUAAGCAUGUAGGCGGAGGUUCCAGGUAAAUCCGGUACCUUUUAACGCUGAGGUGUGAUGACGAGGCACUACGGUGCUGAAGUAACAAAUGCCCUGCUUCCAGGAAAAGCCUCUAAGCAUCAGGUAACAUUGAAUCGUACCCCAAACCGACACAGGUGGUCAGGUAGAGAAUACCAAGGCGCUUGAGAGAACUCGGGUGAAGGAACUAGGCAAAAUGGUGCCGUAACUUCGGGAGAAGGCACGCUGAUAUGUAGGUGAAGCCCCUGCGGGUGGAGCUGAAAUCAGUCGAAGAUACCAGCUGGCUGCAACUGUUUAUUAAAAACACAGCACUGUGCAAACACGAAAGUGGACGUAUACGGUGUGACGCCUGCCCGGUGCCGGAAGGUUAAUUGAUGGGGUUAUCCGUAAGGAGAAGCUCUUGAUCGAAGCCCCGGUAAACGGCGGCCGUAACUAUAACGGUCCUAAGGUAGCGAAAUUCCUUGUCGGGUAAGUUCCGACCUGCACGAAUGGCGUAAUGAUGGCCAGGCUGUCUCCACCCGAGACUCAGUGAAAUUGAACUCGCUGUGAAGAUGCAGUGUACCCGCGGCAAGACGGAAAGACCCCGUGAACCUUUACUAUAGCUUGACACUGAACAUUGAGCCUUGAUGUGUAGGAUAGGUGGGAGGCUUUGAAGCGUGGACGCCAGUCUGCGUGGAGCCAACCUUGAAAUACCACCCUUUAAUGUUUGAUGUUCUAACGUUGGCCCCUGACCGGGGUUGCGGACAGUGUCUGGUGGGUAGUUUGACUGGGGCGGUCUCCUCCCAAAGAGUAACGGAGGAGCACGAAGGUUAGCUAAUCCUGGUCGGACAUCAGGAGGUUAGUGCAAUGGCAUAAGCUAGCUUGACUGCGAGCGUGACGGCGCGAGCAGGUGCGAAAGCAGGUCAUAGUGAUCCGGUGGUUCUGAAUGGAAGGGCCAUCGCUCAACGGAUAAAAGGUACUCCGGGGAUAACAGGCUGAUACCGCCCAAGAGUUCAUAUCGACGGCGGUGUUUGGCACCUCGAUGUCGGCUCAUCACAUCCUGGGGCUGAAGUAGGUCCCAAGGGUAUGGCUGUUCGCCAUUUAAAGUGGUACGCGAGCUGGGUUUAGAACGUCGUGAGACAGUUCGGUCCCUAUCUGCCGUGGGCGCUGGAGAAUUGAGGGGGGCUGCUCCUAGUACGAGAGGACCGGAGUGGACGCAUCACUGGUGUUCGGGUUGUCAUGCCAAUGGCAUUGCCCGGUAGCUAAAUGCGGAAGAGAUAAGUGCUGAAAGCAUCUAAGCACGAAACUUGCCCCGAGAUGAGUUCUCCCUGAGACUUUAAGUCUCCUGAAGGAACGUUAAAGACGAUGACGUUGAUAGGUCGGGUGUGUAAGCGUAGCGAUA